rnacentral:lncRNA from 1 species
GGUCAAUGUCCCUCUGAUACUCACCUUCCCAAACAUAUUAAUGCAUGGCUUGAUAAUCGUGCCUACGAUCUGAACCAGCAAACCCCGGGCUGCCGAAGCCGAGUGCCAGGACUUAACCACUAUGCCACUGGCCACCCCCGAGUUCUCCCCAGCGAGUGCUUUUCAAACGCAGACUAGCCAAUCCUCAGCCUGUUUACCCUGCCUGCCUGCUCCUUUCAAGAGAAAUCACAGAGAAGGCACUUGCCCACAAUCCCCCCGUUCUCUUUCUGAGUGAAGAAUCCAGUGGUUCUCUGUGUGGCCCCCAAAGGUGUGACC